rnacentral:sRNA from 1 species
CACGUGAUAUCCUCUAGUUUAAUAGUGGUUCUUCAUCUGUUUAAUGCCACAUUUUUAUAGGCACAAAUGUGCUGGUGAUUUAGGAGGAUUAAGAAAUGCAAAACGGUAAAGUAAAAUGGUUUAACAACGAAAAAGGUUACGGUUUUAUCGAAGUUGAAGGCGGAGACGAUGUAUUCGUACAUUUCACUGCUAUUCAAGGCGAAGGAUUCAAAACGUUAGAAGAAGGUCAAGAAGUUUCUUUUGAAAUCGUUGAAGGUAAUCGUGGACCACAAGCUGCUAACGUAACUAAACUUUAAUUAUAAACUAAUGAAUAAAGGCUGGCAUUUUUGUCAGCCUUUUUAU